rnacentral:rRNA from 1 species
AACGAACGCUGGCGGCAUGCCUAACACAUGCAAGUCGAACGAGACCUUCGGGUCUAGUGGCGCACGGGUGCGUAACGCGUGGGAACCUGCCCUUAGGUUCGGAAUAACUCCCCGAAAGGGGUGCUAAUACCGGAUAAUGUCUUCGGACCAAAGAUUUAUCGCCUUUGGAUGUGCCCGCGUUGGAUUAGCUAGUUGGUAGGGUAAAAGCAUACCAAGGCGACGAUGCAUAGAUGGUCUGAGAGGAUGAUCAGCCACACUGGGACUGAGACACGGCACAGAAUAGUACGGGAGGCAGCAGUGGGGAAUAUUGGAAAAUGGGCGAAAGCAUGAACAAGCAAUGACGCGUGAGUGAUGAAGGGCUGAGGGUUGUAAAGCUGUUUUACCCGGGAUGAUAAUGACAGUACCGGGAGAAUAAGCACCGGCUAACUACGUG